rnacentral:rRNA from 1 species
AUUGAACGCUGGCGGCAGGCUUAACACAUGCAAGUCGAGCGGGGUGAUGGUGCUUGCACUAUCACUUAGCGGCGGACGGGUGAGUAAUGCUUAGGAAUCUGCCUAUUAGUGGGGGACAACAUCUCGAAAGGGAUGCUAAUACCGCAUACGUCCUACGGGAGAAAGCAGGGGAUCACUUGUGACCUUGCGCUAAUAGAUGAGCCUAAGUCGGAUUAGCUAGUUGGUGGGGUAAAGGCAUACCAAGGCGACGAUCUGUAGCGGGUCUGAGAGGAUGAUCCGCCACACUGGGACUGGGACACGGCCCAGACUCCUACGGGAGGCAGCAGUGGGGAAUAUUUGACAAUGGGGGGAACCCUGAUCCAGCCAUGCCGCGUGUGUGAAGAAGGCCUUAUGGUUGUAAAGCACUUUAAGCGAGGAGGAGGCUCUUUUGGUUAAUACCCAAGAUGAGUGGACGUUACUCGCAGAAUAAGCACCGGCUAACUCUGUGCCAGCAGCCGCAGUAA